rnacentral:misc_RNA from 1 species
GUCUUUUGGUUAUUUAUAAAGGUGUAUUUAUUUAAAUGGGUUAAAAAGGGGUUUGUUUUUAAAAAAAGUUUUGAGGCCUCUUUUUAUCAAGACCUCGAAACAUGGAGCACAAAGGGGUGUAAGUCUAUAAGAAAAAAAGAAAAAUCUUUUUUUUCCUAUGAUGAUCCUUCCGCAGGUUCACCUACGGAAA